rnacentral:tRNA from 1 species
AGUCCUCUCUCUAACU